AUACAUAAGGUCCAAGCGUUAUCCGGAAUUAUUGGGCGUAAAGCGUCCGCAGGUGGUUAUACAAGUCAGUUAUUAAAUACCGGUGCUCAACAUCGGUGCUGUAGCCGAAACUGUAUAACUAGAGGAUGGGAGAGGUAUAUGGAAUUGUGCAAGUAGGGGUAAAAUCCGUAGAUAUGCACAGGAACACCAAAAGCGAAGGCAGUAUACUGGACCAUUCCUGACACUCAGGGACGAAAGCGUGGGGAGCAAAAGGGAUUAGAUACCCUAGUAGUCC
rnacentral:rRNA from 1 species